rnacentral:lncRNA from 1 species
GGUGAUGCAGUCUUAAAGACCCAAAGAGCUGGAAAAAUACCUUGGAUACCUGUGAUCUUGUUUGUGAUAGAGGAAGGAUUCCAGGGACAGCAUGACCAAAAGAGGAGGACAGGACGAAGAUGGUUGAAAGGAGUGAGAGUAUUCAGAGAUGGAGGUAAUGAAUAUUUAAGUACUUGGUGUAAACCCGUCUGUCCUGGUGGAGUGGCUGGAGCUGCGCAGAGAGGCAGAGCUGAGGAUCAUUGUAUUCUGCUCGAUGGGUGGUUCUGCCUGUGGCCAAAUGGAUUCCAUAUGUGAGAUCAUCUGUCAUGCAGAAGGCACCAUCAUUAGCUCCCUUCCUAGGAAGUCCUUCUGCUCUCCUAGGUGAAAUACAAUGCCACUGACCCCAACCUGUUGAUUUGCUAUGAUGGUGCCAUUAUGGAAUGAGCUCUUUGGUGACUUAAAAUUCAAGUACUCCUAGUCAUUUUUCUGGACUUCAGGUAUAGAAUGUUGCUAUUUCAUUAAUUUUAUGUUUGAUGCAAUUUUAAGGCUUUGUAUGGAGAUCAUUGCAGUGUCUGGAUAUCUUUGAAAAACCUCAUCUUGGGUGAGGAGAGUUGACUAGAUUAAAUAUAUGCCAUACCUGUGCUUUUAAUUUUAGGCUUACAUCAUUACCAAAGAGCAAGAAGCUGAUAUUCUGCAGAUCUGUGUAAUACGCUGGACAGUCUAUAGAAGCCAGCAUUUUCAUCCUCAUUUCUCUUUUUGUAAGGAAGGCAAGUUCUUCUGCCCAGAGCUGCUCAGACAAUUGUAUAUGAGAGUGGGCAAGGUGUCUAUGGAAAAGGAGAUUGUAAACUGCUUUUCAUGGUCCCUGGGAGUGGGUCAGGUGUAAUGAUUUUAAACUGAAAGUGAAGGCUUAAUUUAGAGAUGUCAGAACCUUGUUUGCUAGAGAGGUCAGUGGAUAUGUGUCUGGGAAGACUGAAAACUCUGGCACUGGUACUUUGUCCAAUCUGUCUCUCAUCUCCCUGGGAUUAAUUGGGGACUACUUUGCCUGGAUCUUUUAACAGUCAGGUUUUCAACUCUGCUUUCCACUGUUAUUUAGCAGCAGAUGUUCAGAUUCAGAUUUUCCAAAGCAACCCAGUUGUUAUUAGGUAUAAUUAACACCAACAUCCUUAAUCCAUAAGCCUCUUUUAGGUUGGACUCAGUCCCAUUCUGUUUACAAAAUAAAACCUUCAUGUGAAGAUCA